UCAGGAUGAACGCUAGCGGCAGGCUAACACAUGCAAGGUCGAGGGGCAGCGCGGGGUAGCAAUACUCUGGCGGCGACCGGCGGAAGGGUGCGUAACGCGUGAGCAACUUGCCCGCAUCAGGGGGAUAAUCGUUGGAAACGACGUCUAAUACCCCGUAACAACGGUGACCGCAUGAUCACCGUUUGAAAGCUCCGGGCGGAUGCGGAUGGGCUCGCGUGACAUUAGCUAGUCGGCGGGGUAACGGCCCACCGAGGCGACGAUGUCUAGGGGUUCUGACGAGGAAGGUCCCCCACACUGGAACUGAGACACGGUCCAGACUCCUACGGGAGGCAGCAGUGAGGAAUAUUGGUCAAUGGCCGGAAGGCUGAACCAGCCAUGCCGCGUGCAGGAUGACGGCCCUAUGGGUUGUAAACUGCUUUUGGUGGCGGAGCAAUAAGGAUUACGUGUAAUCCGAUGAGAGUACGUCACGAAUAAGCAUCGGCUAACUCCGUGCCAGCCGCUGC
rnacentral:rRNA from 1 species